CCUGCCUCUAGCCUCCUGCGUAGCCCUCACCAUGCGGCCAGCUGCCCUUUCUUCACGCACAGGGAGACUGAGCAUUCAAGAGGACGGGCAUGGGUGCUGCCUGGAUGGCUGUUGUUAUGACAAUGUCUUCACCAUGAGGGAUGUCUGGGAUAGAGAUGAGCUUGGGUGAGAAGAGAACAUCACUGGCAAUAUCAUGAUUUAAACUAAGGAAUAUCAUCAAGACUGAGAUGAAUGCAUCUGUGUCUGUGAUUUGCAUUUUCAAAUGUGACUUUUCAAAUCUAGGUUCUCAUGUAUAACAAAACUGAUAUUUAUUCUGUCCUCCAUAUCCAUGGGUUCUGGAUUCGCAGAUUCAACCAACCACAGUUCAAAAAUAUUAGAAAAAUCCAAUAAAUCUUUAAUUUUGAUAUACACUAAUUUUGAUAAGCACUAUGCCAUUUUGUAGAUCCUCAGGUUCUCUCCAGCACUUGUUUGGGAUGUUUGCCAAUUUAUAUAAGGGGUAAAAUUUUACUUCACCAGUGUAUAUAAUGGAACUUGAACAUCCAUGUAUGUUUGUAUCUAUGGGGGCUCUGGAACCAUAUCCUAGUGGAUAUCAUGGGGCUACUUUCUAUACUCUGUGGAGUUGAUAGGAAAGCA
rnacentral:lncRNA from 11 species